rnacentral:rRNA from 1 species
CUGGCCUCAAAUCAGGUAGGGCUACCCGCUGAACUUAAGCAUAUCAAUAAGCGGAGGAAAAGAAACUAACUAGGAUUCCCUUAGUAACGGCGAGUGAACCGGGAUGAGCUCAAAUUUGAAAUCUGGCGUCUUUCAGGCGUCCGAGUUGUAAUCUAUAGAGGCGUUUUCCGCGCCGGACCGCGUCCAAGUCUCUUGGAAUAGAGUAUCAAAGAGGGUGACAAUCCCGUACUUGACGCGACAACCGGUGCUCUGUGAUACGUUCUCAAUGAGUCGAGUUGUUUGGGAAUGCAGCUCUAAAUGGGUGGUAAAUUCCAUCUAAGGCUAAAUAUUGGCGAGAGACCGAUAGCGAACAAGUACCGUGAGGGAAAGAUGAAAAGCACUUUGGAAAGAGAGUUAAACAGCACGUGAAAUUGUUAAAAGGGAAACGAUUGAAGUCAGUCGUGUGGGAAGUAUUCAGCCGUCUCUGGCGGUGUAUUUGCUUCUCACGGGUCAACAUCAGUUUGAUCCGGUAGAAAAAGGCGGGAAGAAGGUGGCACCCUCGGGUGUGUUAUAGCUUCCUGUCAUAUGUGCCGGACCAGACUGAGGAACGCAGCUUGCAGCAAUGCCGGGGUCGCCCACGUACAAGCUUAGGAUGU